GUGUUUGCCUUAAAUCUAAAUGGGAGAGGGGGGCAAAGCCGGGGCUGGUGGGGAGAACGAGACUGCAGGAGGGGAUGGGGACAGGUGGGUUUUGGGGCACACUGUGGUGUUUUGGGUGCUCUCCGCAGCUCCUGGUGUUACUGAGGAAGUGGCUUUGGCCAGAAGCUGUUGGGGUUGCAGCUUGCAGGCUGUGUUUGCAGCUGGGAAUGCCAGGGCUCGCAGCGUCUGCGUGUGCGUGCAGUGAGCCCCCACGUGCCAGCCAGCUUCGUUAACCAAAGGAGGAUUUUAUUGCAGGCUUAACGUUGGCUUUGCUAGGGAAAUUCAGGUCUGGAAAGCAGCGUUCAGGUGUGCUCCGUGUUUUUAGGGAAGGAAAAGGAAAGUGAAACCUCCCGAGGUUUGUACCCACGGGGGGACAUCUGGGUAGGUGCUCUGACACAGGCGUGUGAGCUGCUUGUCUUGCAGGGCUCAGGCUGUAAGAAGCACGCUGAAAUCGCAGAGAUUUGGUGGCCAGAACGGAUUUGUGGAUCUUCGUUAAGGGUUGGGUUGGAGGAGAUCGUAGCCCUGUCUCACUUUGUUUGCUGAGCAGCUCAGGGCUUUUAUGGGGCCGAAUGCAAGUGAGCACCUGGAGGAAGAGCACAGAGCGAUGAGCGGUGCCAGCUCUGCCCUGUGCAAAACGUGUCGUGCUGUCAGGUUGGCUGCGAUGCACACAGUUGUUCUACGUUUCCUAUUCAGUUCUCCCAGCUUCUUCACUCUCUUCCAAAAAAAAAAGCUUCAAUUCCAGCUGGAAUUGGAGUUAAGCUGAGCGAAUCCAAUUGCUUGUCUUGCUUUAGUUGGUGCUGUAGGGCCUGAGCAAUGCCCUGCAACGAUUUCCCUCCAAAGCAGGGAAAGAAGUCGUGUUUUACACGUCUUUGUGUUCACAGAGGGGUUUCUGGAGGAAAAGGAAGCUGGUGAGAAAGCAGAGAGAGAAAGCAUCCUGUGGUGCUGGAGUCACUUAGGUUGUUAUCUGCAGGGAGGAGGAGGUUUGUGUGCUGAUUAGUUACCAGGUAAUUCGAGCUGGUUAAGGUAAUAGGGGCUGAAGGUAAGCAGAAGAAAAAAAAAAGGGAUAAAAAGCAAGUGGUCCUUUGCUGGUUCGUGUACACUGUGUACACACAGACAUGAAAUGUCCGUAGGGAGAGUCUCAGUGGGAUCUCGAAGCCUGAGAAAAGCAUUAAGGAAAGUCAGAAAGGCUUCCAGUGUGUUCUGCUGUUGUGACAAAGCUGUUUCAGGAGCUUCCUUCCCGCUUACAUUCUUGGCUGCUUUUUCCUGCCUUCUCUGCUUCCCUCCUGGUGUUUCAGGAGGUGGGAUUCUCUCCCCAUGUUGUUGCAGUGAGAUUUCAGCUUUACGUUCCUGCUCCUUGUUCUUGUGUAGCAUUCUGUCUCAAGGCAGGGGCCGGGAAGGAACGGGAGCAGCCACGCAUGUAUGGAGAGGACCUCUGAAACCUGUGCUCCUGCCAGGCAAACACCGAAGUCCAGCUGUGCCCUCGGCUCCGUGCUCACCAUCACAGCACUUCCACUCAUGGCACAGCACAGCGGGCACCUGCGUGGUUGCAGAGGAGCGAACUUCCCAAAAAGGAAGGCCUGUCCUUCGUUAAUUUCCUCCAUUUGAAAAUUGAGGUUGUGUCGGAGGCAGUGCAGUGUCGUGGUUGGGCACUUAGGAAAGGAAGAGGAUGAGCUGCUGAAAGUUCCUGCAGCGUGGGCACAGCAGAGCUCGGUGCAGGCAUCGCUUGGUGCCCUUCGUGCUGCGCGGGGCAGUGCGGGUGGGAUGGCAGCUUCUCCCCCAUCUGUGGGGCACAGCACAGCUCAAGCGUCCAAGGUGUGGGGAGAGCAGAGAGCAGCGCCUGCUGCCCUCCGUGGGCUCACUGCCUUCCAAACACACGUUUGGUUUCGGGCCCUUUUCUGUCGUUGCUCGGGUCUGAGCUCGGAGGUGUGAGCUGCAGGAUACAGGGGGGAGAAGACGUUUCGGGCUGCUGUGAUUGGCAGCUUUGCAGAAGCUCCUAAUUGCUGUAGUUCCCACGAAGGGGAGGCUUUGCCUGCCAACCUUUUCCAUGGCUCUGCUUGGACGCACUCCUCUGGUUCUGACCAUCUUCCUGGUUCCCCCCAUUGCCUCUUGUUUGCUUGUUUUCUCCUUCUGUGUGCUUGCGGGCUGCGGUCCACCCUACUGAAGGCUUUCCUGAUGUGCUCUUGGUUGGUUGGGGGUGUUCUUUUCUGGGAUGUCUCUGCAUGCUUCCCUUCUUCCUUGCUGUCUUCUCCUCUGCUUUAAUCUUUCCAUUUAAGUUCAAUUACCUCUCACUAGGAAACCAGCAGCAGGCAAUUGAAGAUGCUGAGCAGCCACCUUUCCAGUCUUUCUGGUUGUCUUUUGUAAUAACAGCAACCCCCACCCCCUCCACGCACAGCACCGAGGAACAUCGGCUCCCUGAUCUUCACAGAGCAAAUCUCAGCACCUGCAGGGUGGUUCCUGAGUUCAUGCUGGCCAUCUCAGUGCUCUGCUGUUCCAUUCUGAGCCGCUCCAGGAGACGUUAUGGGCUGUUCCCAAGCUGCUCAGUUGUUUCUGGCCAAACGGAGAGCUUGUGCUUGGAGAAUGCAGAGCGGAGCAGGUAGCAAAGAGGAUGCAGAGGAGAUGAAAGCUGAAAUGUGCUUUUUCAGAUGCUCAGAACCUUGAGGAUAUAAAUGAAAGUGGCAGGAGGUGGUUUGAGCUGAGCCGCGCUGCGCACAGAGGUGGUGAUGCUCUCACAGCUCAUCUCACCCGCAUUUUGCAGGUAAACGAAGGCAGGUUGGCUUGUUCCCAGCCCAGGGUGAGAGCAGCACGUGCAGAAAGCGUGGUGAAAAAGUGGAACAGAGCCUGGCCAGGUGGUGGGAUUCAUACACAGAGUGCUGCACGUUGUUGAGUCCUGCCUCGUGCUUCUUCUGUUCCUUUGUCUUAAAUGGGGGACGGCACACUGAGGGGGGCCCAGGGUUCUGCUGAGUGCUGAGGGGUGAGCUGGGUCCCUUCAGGUGCUGCUGGAGGGCUGGAAAAUGUGAUGUUGGUUUUGUCUUAGAUGCCCUUUUUCGCACCGUGCUGCUCUGUCUGCUUUCCUCCAAGCAGAAAUAAAUCGUAAAGCACGUGCCCGUGGGGAGGGUUUGCAAAUGAAAGCCAGUUGGCACUCGGAUACUCCAUAGACUCCUCUCAUUUGAGAGCUCCUUGCCUAAAAUAUUUCCCUGUUGAUCCUCAGCUAUUUUGGCAGAAGAGCCGGGCAGGGAAAACCCAUUUUUAACCUCUGACGCUGCACUCGCUUGGCUGGGACCCCAGGAAGAAACAUUUCACCCUUUCUGGGAACCAACCAGAGAAGGCAAAGCUUUCCUAGCACAGAAAGGACAGAAGGAACCGCGGUGGAGAAGCACGGGCUCCUUUUGGGGUGGGAACUGCUGGGACUGAGUGCAGUUUGCAGAUGCAAAGCGACUGACACCAUCGGCUUCGUGUUUUCCAGGACCAUUCGGGCACCCUUUCGUGUCUGCUUCGUUUUGUUUUCUUUCGCUUUGCUUGUUUUUGGUUUUUUUUUCUCAUCGUUUGCCGUCAGCUGCUGCCUUCCAGCGCCUGUUUCGAGCCCCAGGAAGAGGAAAGCUGGCUGCAGAGCA